CUAACUUAGCAGAAUGGAGCGGUAGGCUGUCCCGGGAGUUCCUAGACGUCAGAGUGAGAAGGGAACCAUGAAAGGGAAAAUGCUGCCUUCUCUCUGCAGAAAGCCUGCUGAGCUAACCACAGCCAGCCUUUGUUUAUCCGUCUCUCAGGGUCGGAUCUAGGACUGGACCAAAGGAAAGACAGGCCCUAGUGGACCGCUCUGGAAAUGGUUAAGCCAGGAUCCUCUCAGCAGACUGAAAGGGCAGCGUUUAGCCAAAUCACAAACUCAAAACCUUCCCUAACUUCCCAACCAAAGAAGCACAUUGAAUCUGGACACAGGACAGAAGCCUAUGGAGAAGAGAAUGGCCAGGGAAGAAGGACUCUAGAAGUCAUAAUGAAGUAGUCACCGUAAAUCUUGAAGGCGCUUGGUCCAUAUGCUAAAAUCUUCUCCAGCACAUUCUGAAGGUGGACACAGCCCGAGACCGGUGAGACCCCGCGCUACCCUAAGUAGAUGUGACUGGGAGAAAGUACCACCUGUUGAGCUGCCUUUGCUCUGAGUCCCUCCUGCCUACGUGUGGUCUGAGGACCUGUUGCUGGCGUCUGUUACCUGUGUUGCUCUAUCUCCUUCUAAAUCUGGGCAUUCAGAAAUUCUUCCAGAAUGUAAGCACGUAUCCAAGUGGUGAGACUGGGGCAUGCCGGAACAACUUUACUACACAGUCACUUGCCUUCUCAUCUCCCUCAAGAAACAGCGGUCUG